AAAACUUACCAUCCAGCCAAAGCCCUGGUCUGACAUUGUGCAGAUUGUACUCUGCCCACCAGGGGCACAAAUACACCAUCCUAAUGGUGCCCUGUGCCCAGUUACAUUCCAUCUCAAGCUUUUCAAGACAUUUAAAAUCCCUAUAGCCUUGAUUAUCGUUGAACAGCAUCCAGUUAAAACUCGUGUCAUCCAGUUCCUAGUGCACCAGCCUCUGAGAGUUGGGUAAAUUUUCAGAAAGGGGAGUUGUUCACCUAACUUUCACCUUCAAGCCUCAGAAUAUCCUUAUACCAAUACUCAUAAGUACUCUCAUAUCUGAAAGUGAUGACUUAAAUGCUUCUUGGUCUUGUGUAAAUGUACUCGUUUUAAACAAAUUUUCUCAUUGUGAUAAAAUACAGAGAACAUAAAAGUUGACAUCUUAACCAUUUUUAAGUGUGAAGUUCAGCAGUAUCAAAAACAUUCACGUCUUUCUGUAACCAUCACCACUAACCAUCCUCAGAACUUUUCUAUCUUCCCAAGCUGAACCGUCAUACACAUUAAACAAUAAUUCUGUGUUCUCCCACACCACAGCCCCUGAGAACCAUCAUUUUACUUUCUGUCUCUAUGCAUUUACCUAUCCUAGGCUCCUCAUAGAAGUAGAAUCACACUUUUGUGUCUGGCUUAUUUCACUUAGCAUAAUGUUUUCAAGUUGAACCAAAAUUUUGAGCUAACAAAAUCUCUAAGCUGAUAAGCUGUCAUGUAAAAUAAUUCUUCCUUAUUUCUAGUUUCUUGCACUUUCCUUUUCAAAAGUGUCUUUUGACCAGGGCUUCCUUUUGAACAGCCCGAGUCCUGGUAAAUUGGACAGACUCUCUCACAGACUCUUUACACUGCCAAUGGAAGUAUCAGGCAGAAUUUAGAUAACCACUUGGUGGGGAUAUUGUAGAAGUUUGAAUUAGAUGAGCUUAAAUCUCUCAUUCUACUCUACAACCUGGUGACUUUUACAAAUGCUUUUGUUUGUUCCUUCAUUUAUUCACCAUAGGAAUUUGUCAGCACUUACUGAGUACCUACCGCAUGUAAAUGAUGGCUGUUGACACAAUGUGGUGACUGAUGAUAUUGACUUGGCUCCCAACUUCUGCAGCGGAAUCAGGAACUUGGGCACUGCCCUAACAGACUGGCUUUUGCUCUCAAUCAGCUGGCACUGCUAGUUGGGGCUCCUGGAGACAUUUCGACCUGCCAACCAUGAUCCAGCCCCAGGCUUCUGUUCUUCCAGUCACCGUCUCACUUCUUUCAGGUGCCUGCUCUAAUGUCACCUCAGUCGGAAGGCUUUCCUGGCCACAGUAGGUGACUGAAUCGUGCGAUCUCAUGGGACAGAACACCUGGAGACGGAGAAGCUGCCACAGGAGCACACGGAGCCUGGCUUCUUCUGAUCACCUCACACCAUCUAGCGCGGCCACCUUGUCAGACAUCGUGCGACGCUCUCUUCAAACCGCCCAGAGAUGGGCCCAAGGCAAGCGUCUGGCUGUGGGGCGGAUUUUCUUCUCAGCAGAGGAUAAUAAGCCAGAUCAAGCAGAGGAUAUGGGAACAAAGCGCGGGGCCGCCGGCCGCCGUCUGGCACGUGGAAGAAUCGGGCUGUGAGUUUCAUUCCCACGAUGUUUCUCUGGAGAGAGAAAUGGCCAAAGUUUCCAAAGUGUACGUGAUUUUCUUUUUUCCAGGGAAAGAUUAAUCUUUACUUCUUCUAAAAAGCAAUCUGUUUAUACAUUUGCUGGAGGAUGUGCCUGGAAAAAAAUUAAAAUAGGAGAACUUGAUCUGACACAUCUGGAGCAGACGGGCAUGUUUUGUUUGGCUUCCUGAAGAUGUUUAAAUUGGGGUUAAGACGGGGAAGAUGGUAAAACUGUGUGAAGACUCAGGUGGCUGGGAAAAGACCAGCGUGGAAUGUGAAAAAAGGAGCGGAAUAAAAUGUAGCAGGCUGAAUCA